UAACGAGGUUGUCUUGUUAUCUUUUCAGUCUUCAAAACUUGGAGUGCUGUCUGUUUGUCCUCUUUCCAUAUUUCUCUUACAUGCUUGCAGAAGGUCUUGGUCUGUCUGGUAUUGUGUCAAUAUUGUUCACAGGAAUGGUCAUGAAGCAUUAUACGUAUUCAAAUUUAUCAGAAAACUCUCAAAUAUUUGUUUCUUCCUUUUUCCAUUUGAUAUCAUCACUAGCGGAGACGUUUGUGUUUAUAUACAUGGGUUUUGAUAUUGCCAAGGAACAACAUAGCUGGUCACAUGUGGGGUUCAUUUUUUUCUCAAUUG